rnacentral:lncRNA from 1 species
UUGAAUGCAAACAUCACAGAGAAGUUUCUGAGAAUGCUUCUGUCUAGUUUUUAUUUAUAGAUAUUUCCUUUUCCACCAUAGGCCUCAAAGCUCUCCAACAGUCAACUUGCAGAUUCUACAAAAAAAGUGUUUCAAACCUGCUCUAUCAAAAGAAAGGUUCAAUUCUGUGAGUGGAAUGCACACAUCACAAAGAAGUUUCUGAGAACGAUUCUGUCUAGUGUUUAUGUGAAGAUAUCUCCUUUUCCAAUGAAGGCCUCAAAGUUGUUCAAAUAUCCACUUGCAGAUUCUACAAAAAGAGUGUUUCAAACCUGCUCUAUCAAAAGAAAGCUUCAACUCUGUGAGUUGAAUGCACACAUCACAAAGAAGUUUCUGAAAUGCUUCUAUCUAGUGUUUAUUUGAAGAUAUUCCCGUUUCCAACGAAGGCUUCAAAGCAUUCCAAAUAUCCACUUGCAGAUUCUGCAAAAAGAGUGCUUCAAAACUGCUCUAUGAAGAGGCCUCAAAGCUUGCCAUAUGUCCACUUGAAGAUUCUGCAAAAAGACGGUUUCAAACCUGCUCUAUGAAAAGAAAGGUUCAACUCUGUGAGUUGAAUGCACACAUCACAAAGGAGUUGUUGAGAAUGCUUCUGUCUAGUGUUUAUGUGAAGAUAAUCCCGUUGCCAAGGAAGGCCUCAAAGCAGUGCAAAUAUCCACUCUCAGAUUCUACUAAAAGAGUGUUUCAAAAGUGCUCUAUGAUAAGGUAUGUUCAACUCUGUAAAUUGAAUGCACACAUCAUAAGAACUUUCUGAGAAUGCUUCUGUCUGGUUUUUAUGGGAAGAUAUUUCCUUUUCCAC